UACAGAGGGUGCAAGCGUUGUUCGGAAUCAUUGGGCGUAAAGCGCACGUAGGCGGCUUUGCAAGUCAGGUGUGAAAGCCUGGGGCUCAACCCCAGAAGUGCAUUUGAAACUGCAGAGCUUGAGUCUUGGAGAGGGCAGUGGAAUUCCGAGUGUAGAGGUGAAAUGCGUAGAUAUCUGGAGGAACAUCGGUGGCGAAGGCGGCAUCCUGGACCGGUAUUGACGCUGAGGCGCGAAAGCCAGGGGAGCAAACGGG
rnacentral:rRNA from 1 species